rnacentral:rRNA from 1 species
UACGUAGGUGGCAAGCGUUGUCCGGAAUUACUGGGCGUAAAGCGUGCGCAGACGGUUGCGUAAGUCAGAUGUGAAAGCCCCGGGCUCAACCUGGGAAUUGCAUUUGAGACUGCGUAGCUAGGGUGCGGAAGAGGGAAGCGGAAUUUCCGGUGUAGCGGUGAAAUGCGUAGAUAUCGGAAGGAACACCAGUGGCGAAAGCGGCUUCCUGGUCCAGCACCGACGUUCAGGCACGAAAGCGUGGGGAGCAAACAGG